rnacentral:rRNA from 1 species
UACGUAGGUGGCAAGCGUUGUCCGGAUUUAUUGGGCGUAAAGAGCGCGUAGGCGGCCGAGUAAGUCCGACGUGAAAUCUGGAGGCUCAACCUCCAGCGGUCGUUGGAAACUACUCGGCUAGAGUCCGGAAGAGGAGAGUGGAAUUCCUGGUGUAGCGGUGAAAUGCGCAGAUAUCAGGAAGAACACCGAUGGCGAAAGCAGCUCUCUGGGACGGUACUGACGCUGAGGCGCGAAAGCGUGGGGAGCGAACAGG